UACGUAGGUGUCGAGCGUUGUCCGGAUUUAUUGGGCGUAAAGCGCCCGCAGGCGGCUCGCCAAGUUCGAGGUGAAAUCUCCCGGCUUAACUGGGAGGGUGCGGCGGAAACUGGAAUGCUAGAGGGUGGGAGAGGUAAGCGGAAUUCCUGGUGUAGCGGUGAAAUGCGUAGAUAUCAGGAGGAACACCUGUGGUGUAGACAGCUUACUGGACCACUUCUGACGCUGAGACACGAAAGCGUGGGUAGCAAACAGG
rnacentral:rRNA from 1 species